UCGACUGUUGUGGCAAUAAUUAACCAACAACAUCUAACCACAAACAUAAGCACCUAGAAUUUGCUAAACAUUACUGUAACUUUUACUGCAACCGGGUUCUACGGUAAGAUGAGACAAGAUGAGAUUCUGUCAUAUGACUGUUUUUCCACCUUGGGAACCUUAUUAGGAUUACGGUAUCCAGUAUCACGAACUAGCGGGACAAUGUCAUAUUGAGACGCACACUGAAGGGCUUCCUGGGAACUGAGUCAAUGAAGCUGACCAGCUCCUCUCCUGACCAAUUCGACGUCGAAGAAUUCAGUAAUACCUUCUGAAAGAUUUCACCAUUGGACCCUAGCAAGGUCACAUGACUGAAAGUGGCUUCAUCAUUGGUGGACAGGCCUGUUACAGCCACCACUAAAAAUACUGGUACACCUAUUGAGGAGGAAGGAGGUGACAAAAUUCAAAGCAAUGAAACUAAUGGUUGAUGAGGACACAAGUUGUGAGUUUUCCAGCAAUAAGGAGCCUAACAGAUCUGACAGUGUGGUCGACUGUGAAGAUGUGUGAUGAAUCUGCCUCACUUUCUGCAUGAAACAGAGUCACCUGAGGAGAAGACCAGGAAAAAAAAACAUAGUUACCUGAACAGCAGAGAGACACAUCUCUGGUUCAUCUCCUCCACCAAGAGCCAUUAAAUUCUCCAUGAACUGCUGGAAUUCAUUGGGGUCAUCUGUCUCUAACACCGGGCCUACAGCUGAAAAUGACCACUUUUAGCAUUAUAGACACACAUACUACGCUUCACAACAUAACCAAUUUUUUAUUUUUGGUUGCUGUAUGUCUUAAACUCCCAUUCCAUGACUUUAUCAGAUAUUUCUGUUAGUUUCUGUUACCUAUGAACAAGUACUUUUCUAAAAUGUGUCUCUGUUCUUACCUGGGUC